rfam:Endosymbiont of unidentified scaly snail isolate Monju DNA, complete genome.
GGUCAAGUGACUAAGCGCAUACGGUGGAUGCCUUGGCGGUAGAAGGCGAUGAAGGACGUUGUAGCCUGCGAUAAGCCUCGGGGAGCUGGCAAACAAGCUUUGAUCCGGGGAUUUCCGAAUGGGGAAACCCACCCUUCGGGGUAUCCUGUCCGUUCGGGCAGGAGGCGAACCCAGGGAACUGAAACAUCUAAGUACCUGGAGGAAAAGAAAUCAACCGAGAUUCCCUAAGUAGCGGCGAGCGAAAGGGGACUAGCCUAUCUCGCAGUGAGUAGUGGAACGGUCUGGAAAGUCCGGCGAUACAGGGUGAUAGCCCCGUACACGAAACGAUCUGCAGGAGAUAUCAAGUAGGGCGGGACACGUGUUAUCCUGUCUGAAGAUGGGGGGACCACCCUCCAAGGCUAAAUACUCUCUACCGACCGAUAGUGAACCAGUACCGUGAGGGAAAGGCGAAAAGAACCCCGUAGAGGGGAGUGAAAUAGAACCUGAAACCGUAUGCGUACAAGCAGUCGGAGCCCGUAAGGGUGACGGCGUACCUUUUGUAUAAUGGGUCAGCGACUUACUUCUCAGUGGCAAGCUUAACCGUUUAGGGGAGGCGUAGGGAAACCGAGUCUUAACAGGGCGACAGUCGCUGGGAGUAGACCCGAAACCGAGUGAUCUAGCCAUGGGCAGGUUGAAGGUGCGGUAACACGCACUGGAGGGCCGAACCCACUGUCGUUGAAAAGCCAGGGGAUGACCUGUGGCUAGGGGUGAAAGGCCAAUCAAACUCGGAGAUAGCUGGUUCUCCUCGAAAGCUAUUUAGGUAGCGCCUCGUGUCUCACCCCGGGGGGUAGAGCACUGUUUCGGCUAGGGGGCCAUCCCGGCUUACCAAACCGAUGCAAACUCCGAAUACCCGGGAGUGCAAUCACGGGAAACACACGGCGGGUGCUAACGUCCGUCGUGGAGAGGGAAACAACCCAGACCGCCAGCUAAGGUCCCUAAAUCGUGGCUCAGUGGGAAACGAUGUGGGAAGGCCCAGACAGCCAGGAGGUUGGCUUAGAAGCAGCCACCCUUUAAAGAAAGCGUAAUAGCUCACUGGUCGAGUCGGCCCGCGCGGAAGAUUUAACGGGGCUCAAGCCACGUACCGAAGCUGCGGAUACGCCUUGUGCGUAUGGUAGAGGAGCGUUCUGUAAGCCGUUGAAGGUGUGCUGUGAGGCAUGCUGGAGGUAUCAGAAGUGCGAAUGCUGACAUGAGUAACGAUAAAGGGGGUGAGAGGCCCCCUCGCCGAAAGUCCAAGGGUUCCUGCGCAACGUUAAUCGGCGCAGGGUUAGUCGGCCCCUAAGGCAAAGCCGAAAGGCGUAGUCGAUGGGAAUCAGGUUAAUAUUCCUGAACCUGCUGGUGAGUGACGGAUUCCGAAAGUCAGUCUUGCGUGACGGUUUGCAAGGCUGGCCUGGGAGUUCCAGGAAAUAGCCCCAGCGUAUAGACCGUACCCCAAACCGACACAGGUGGACAGGGUGAGUAUCCCAAGGCGCUUGAGAGAACUCGGGUGAAGGAACUAGGCAAAAUGGUACCGUAACUUCGGGAGAAGGUACGCCCACCUCGGUGCAAGCCUUGGUGGGCCGCAGUGAAAAGGUGGCUGCAACUGUUUACUAAAAACAUAGCACUCUGCAAACUCGAAAGAGGACGUAUAGGGUGUGACGCCUGCCCGGUGCCGGAAGGUUAAUUGAUCGGGUUAGCCCUCGGGCGAAGCUCGUGAUCGAAGCCCCGGUAAACGGCGGCCGUAACUAUAACGGUCCUAAGGUAGCGAAAUUCCUUGUCGGGUAAGUUCCGACCUGCACGAAUGGCGUAAUGAUGGCCACACUGUCUCCACCCGAGACUCAGUGAAAUUGAAAUCGCAGUUAAGAUGCUGUGUACCCGCGGCUAGACGGAAAGACCCCGUGAACCUUUACUACAGCUUUACACUGGACUUUGAACCUACCUGUGUAGGAUAGGUGGGAGGCUUUGAAGCCGGGACGCCAGUCUCGGUGGAGCCGUCCUUGAAAUACCACCCUGGUAUGUUUGAAGUUCUAACCCAGGCAUUAGAGUGUCGGGGACAGUGUAUGGUGGGUAGUUUGACUGGGGCGGUCUCCUCCCAAAGAGUAACGGAGGAGCGCGAAGGUACCCUAAGUACGGUCGGACAUCGUACGGUUAGUGCAAUGGCAUAAGGGUGCUUGACUGCGAGACGGACACGUCGAGCAGGUGCGAAAGCAGGUCAUAGUGAUCCGGUGGUUCUGUGUGGAAGGGCCAUCGCUCAACGGAUAAAAGGUACUCCGGGGAUAACAGGCUGAUACCGCCCAAGAGUUCAUAUCGACGGCGGUGUUUGGCACCUCGAUGUCGGCUCAUCACAUCCUGGGGCUGAAGUCGGUCCCAAGGGUAUGGCUGUUCGCCAUUUAAAGUGGUACGCGAGCUGGGUUUAGAACGUCGUGAGACAGUUCGGUCCCUAUCUGCCGUGGGCGUUUGAGAACUGAGGGAAGCUGCUCCUAGUACGAGAGGACCGGAGUGGACGAACCUCUGGUGUUCCGGUUGUCACGCCAGUGGCACUGCCGGGUAGCUACGUUCGGACAGGAUAACCGCUGAAAGCAUCUAAGCGGGAAGCCCCUCCCAAGAUAAGUUCUCACUGAGCUUUAAGCUCCUGUAGGGCCCUCGAAGACUACGAGGUUGAUAGGCUGGGUGUGGAAACGCGGUAACGUGUGAAGCUAACCAGUACUAAUUGCCCGUGAGGCUUGACCAU